rnacentral:rRNA from 1 species
AUUGAACGCUGGCGGCAGGCCUAACACAUGCAAGUCGAACGAGUGGCGGACGGGUGAGUAAUGUCUGGGAAACUGCCUGAUGGAGGGGGAUAACUACUGGAAACGGUAGCUAAUACCGCAUACCAUCAGAUGUGCCCAGAUGGGAUUAGCUAGUAGGGUGGGUAAUGGCUCACCAAGGCGACGAUCCCUAGCUGGUCUGAGAGGAUGACCAGGCAGCCUGGAACUGGGACACGGUCCAGACUCCUACGGGAUGCAGCAGUGGUGAAUAUUGCACAAUGGACGCAAGCCUGAUGCAGCCAUGCCGCGUGUGUGAAGACGGCCUUCGGGUUGUAAAGUACUUUCAGCGUGGAGGCGUUACCCGCAGAAGAAGCACCGGCUAACUCCGUGCCAGCAGCCGCGGUAAUUC